UUAAAUUGAAGAGUUUGAUCAUGGCUCAGAUUGAACGCUGGCGGCAGGCCUAACACAUGCAAGUCGAACGGUAACAGGAAGCAGCUUGCUGCUUCGCUGCCGAGUGGCG
rnacentral:rRNA from 1 species